GAUGAACGCUAGCGGCAGGCUUAACACAUGCAAGUCGAGGGGUAUAGUUCCUCGGAACUAGAGACCGGCGCACGGGUGCGUAACGCGUAUGCAAUCUACCUUUUGCAGAGGGAUAGCCCAGAGAAAUUUGGAUUAAUACCUCAUGGUAUGUGAGAAUGGCAUCAUUUUCACAUUAAAGUCACAACGGCAAAAGAUGAGCAUGCGUCCCAUUAGCUUGUUGGUAAGGUAACGGCUUACCAAGGCAACGAUGGGUAGGGGUCCUGAGAGGGAGAUCCCCCAAACUGGUACUGAGACACGGACCAGACUCCUACGGGAGGCAGCAGUGAGGAAUAUUGGACAAUGGGCGCAAGCCUGAUCCAGCCAUGCCGCGUGCAGGAUGACGGUCCUAUGGAUUGUAAACUGCUUUUGUACAGGAAGAAACACUGGUUCGUGAACCAGCUUGACGGUACUGUAAGAAUAAGGAUCGGCUAACUCCGUGCCAGCCGCCGCAGUAACAC
rnacentral:rRNA from 1 species